GAACCAGUACCGUGAGGGAAAGGUGAAAAGCACCCCGGAAGGGGAGUGAAAUAGAACCUGAAACCGUGUGCUUACAAGUAGUCAGAGCCCGUUAAUGGGUGAUGGCGUGCCUUUUGUAGAAUGAACCGGCGAGUUACGAUUUGAUGCAAGGUUAAGCAGUAAAUGUGGAGCCGUAGCGAAAGCGAGUCUGAAUAGGGCGUUUAGUAUUUGGUCGUAGACCCGAAACCAGGUGAUCUACCCUUGGUCAGGUUGAAGUUCAGGUAACACUGAAUGGAGGACCGAACCGACUUACGUUGAAAAGUGAGCGGAUGAACUGAGGGUAGCGGAGAAAUUCCAAUCGAACCUGGAGAUAGCUGGUUCUCUCCGAAAUAGCUUUAGGGCUAGCCUCAAGUGAUGAUUAUUGGAGGUAGAGCACUGUUUGGACGAGGGGCCCCUCUCGGGUUACCGAAUUCAGACAAACUCCGAAUGCCAAUUAAUUUAACUUGGGAGUCAGAACAUGGGUGAUAAGGUCCGUGUUCGAAAGGGAAACAGCCCAGACCACCAGCUAAGGUCCCAAAAUAUAUGUUAAGUGGAAAAGGAUGUGGCGUUGCCCAGACAACUAGGAUGUUGGCUUAGAAGCAGCCAUCAUUUAAAGAGUGCGUAAUAGCUCACUAGUCGAGUGACACUGCGCCGAAAAUGUACCGGGGCUAAACAUAUUACCGAAGCUGUGGAUUGUCCUUUGGACAAUGGUAGGAGAGCGUUCUAAGGGCGUUGAAGCAUGAUCGUAAGGACAUGUGGAGCGCUUAGAAGUGAGAAUGCCGGUGUGAGUAGCGAAAGACGGGUGAGAAUCCCGUCCACCGAUUGACUAAGGUUUCCAGAGGAAGGCUCGUCCGCUCUGGGUUAGUCGGGUCCUAAGCUGAGGCCGACAGGCGUAGGCGAUGGAUAACAGGUUGAUAUUCCUGUACCACCUAUAAUCGUUUUAAUCGAUGGGGGGACGCAGUAGGAUAGGCGAAGCGUGCGAUUGGAUUGCACGUCUAAGCAGUAAGGCUGAGUAUUAGGCAAAUCCGGUACUCAUUAAGGCUGAGCUGUGAUGGGGAGAAGACAUUGUGUCUUCGAGUCGUUGAUUUCACACUGCCGAGAAAAGCCUCUAGAUAGAAAAUAGGUGCCCGUACCGCAAACCGACACAGGUAGUCAAGAUGAGAAUUCUAAGGUGAGCGAGCGAACUCUCGUUAAGGAACUCGGCAAAAUGACCCCGUAACUUCGGGAGAAGGGGUGCUCUUUAGGGUUAACGCCCAGAAGAGCCGCAGUGAAUAGGCCCAAGCGACUGUUUAUCAAAAACACAGGUCUCUGCUAAACCGUAAGGUGAUGUAUAGGGGCUGACGCCUGCCCGGUGCUGGAAGGUUAAGAGGAGUGGUUAGCUUCUGCGAAGCUACGAAUCGAAGCCCCAGUAAACGGCGGCCGUAACUAUAACGGUCCUAAGGUAGCGAAAUUCCUUGUCGGGUAAGUUCCGACCCGCACGAAAGGCGUAACGAUUUGGGCACUGUCUCAACGAGAGACUCGGUGAAAUCAUAGUACCUGUGAAGAUGCAGGUUACCCGCGACAGGACGGAAAGACCCCGUGGAGCUUUACUGUAGCCUGAUAUUGAAAUUCGGCACAGCUUGUACAGGAUAGGUAGGAGCCUUUGAAACGUGAGCGCUAGCUUACGUGGAGGCGCUGGUGGGAUACUACCCUAGCUGUGUUGGCUUUCUAACCCGCACCACUUAUCCUGUCUCUUAUACACAUCUCCGAGCCCACGAGACGGAGCUACAUCUCGU
rnacentral:rRNA from 1 species